UUGAACCGGAACCCCCUAAGUCUUCUUCGAUUUUUUUAUAAAUAUUCAGUGCGGUGUUGGGUUUCCAGUCUAACGGCAUGGCAACGAAGGUCUAUCGGUGAAGAGGAGCGACAUAUGUGUGGGGUUUAUCUUUAGAACGGAACCAUUGGGCUCUCUUCUCAAGUUUGCGGUUCGUUUUGAGAACAAUGGCAGAAAUAUGGUUAGGGAUCUCGGUGGCUAUGGAGACGAGUCAGUAAAUGGGUGUGAUUUCGUCCCAUCCAAUCAUGGGCUCCAACCAGCGAUACUGAUCUUAUUUGCUUUUCGCUCCUCCUUCCCUUGAGCUUCUCCUUUUUCUUCUUGAAUUUUUGGAUUCAAUGGUUUUCUCGUCUCCGUUUGUAGCAAUGACUGAC
rnacentral:lncRNA from 1 species